GAUGAACGCUCGCUACAGGCUUAACACAUGCAAGUCGCGGGGCAGCAUGGGGGUUGCUUGCAAUCCCCGAUGGCGACCGGCGCACGGGUGAGUAACGCGUAUCCAACCUGCCCUUCACCACGGGAUAACCCGGCGAAAGUCGGACUAAUACCGUAUGUUGUCCAUUGACGGCAUCCGAUUUGGACGAAAGGCUUGGCGGGGAGGGAGGGGGAUGCGUCCGAUUAGGCAGACGGCGGGGUAACGGCCCACCGUGGCUACGAUCGGUAGGGGUUCUGAGAGGAAGGUCCCCCACGCUGGAACUGAGACACUGUCCAGACUCCUACGCGAAGCAGCAGUGAGGAAUAGUGGUCAAUGGGCGUAAGCCUGAACCAGCCAAGUAGCGUGCAGGAUGACGGCCCUAUGGGUUGUAAACUGCUUUUAUGCGGGGAUAAAGUGGCCCACGUGUGGGCUUUUGCAGGUACCGCAUGAAUAAGGACCGGCUAAUUCCGUG
rnacentral:rRNA from 1 species